GUUUUCUUUAGCUAAUGCAAUAUGCAUUUGUGGACAACCAGAACUAUCAUAUCUAAAAUACUGCUAGUAUUGGCAUGAUUGUAUGGAUUCACACAGCGCUGUCUAUUUGGCACACAAUGAGAAAAGAUCAAACGAUUACAACCACAUUUUUAUUGGUUUGUUUAUACCAAUCAUGACACAGAUACAUCUAUAAACAAAGAAUACAAGAACUGUACACUUGUACUUGAUACCUAAAACCCACAUGAAUAUUGCUGGUUUGUGUAUUUGACAGCUCAAGUGGAUGUACAGUUUCUCAGCAUCAAAAGGAACCAUAGUCAACAGUAUGUUUCACACUUAUGUCAUUAGCUUGGCUAAGAACAAAGAAUUCCAUUUACAAUGUACCAUUACACACUGCAUAUAGAAAGUUUGAAAACCCUUUUAAACAGCAGCUGUACACAUUUAUUGCAAUGCUAUCACAGAACAGAGACAAAACCAAUUACACGCAAUGCACAGGCCUGAUAGGGAGGAACUCCAGUGCUAGGGAAUAGGUUUAUUAAGCAGAAUGGUUAAGAAAAAAAUGGCAUGAGUACAAUAGUUAACAUACGGAACACAGCUUACAACAUUCUAAAACAUUUCUCAUUAUAAACAAUAAAACUGUGUUGCCCCUUGAGGAAUUCAUCCCCACCACACAAUACAGGUUACAAAUACCGUCCCUCAUAUAGCCUAUGGAAUGUUAGUCUCUCAGGCAAGCUCUCUGUUUUGACCGGAUCCUGUAAACAACGUGCUUGCAUGUUCUUGAUGCAGCAACCUGGCCCAUUCCCACCCCACGGCAAAAAUAAAAACCUUUGACAUUUACAAUAACCGUAAUUGUUCCGGAGAUGUAAAAAUGUGGGAUGUGAUGAAAUCCGUCUCCAAAUGUAUUUGUUCCAUAAAAAAUGUGUUUCUACAAUCAAACUACUAAAAAACUUGCAUUUAGAAAAUAGUCAAUAAAAAUAUUCCCCUGAAUUGUACAAGAAAGAGGAAUAGGGAGCAGUGAUAAAAGAUGUGGUUUGAGAGAUGUUAUUCUGCCGCAUCUUCUUUCUGUUCAGGUUCUUCUGUGGCUGGUUCCUGAAAAUCAAACAAAUUUUUAAAUAUUUUUUUAAAAUUUAAAUUAUAAAUAAAAAGAGCACCAUAUCAUAUCAUGGGGCGGCAGGGCAGCCUAGUGGUUAGAGCGUUGGACUAGUAACCGAAAGGUUGCAAGUUUAAAUCCCCGAGCUGACAAGGUACAAAUCUGUCAUUCUGCCCUGAACAGGCAGUUAAACCCACUGUUCCUUGGCUGUCAUUGAAAAUAAGAAUUUGUUCUUAACCAACUUGCCUAGUCAAAUAAAGAUUUAAAAAUAACAAUUGGAUUGUUUUUUCAUUUAUCUGUAAGAAGAAAUACCUACAUAUCCCAUAAGCCCCUUACCUCUUCCUCAGCUUUGGCUUCGCCAUUCUCUGCAGGCGCCUCCUUCUCCUCAGGUGCAGCCUUCUUCACCUCCUUAGCCUUCUUGGGCUUGGGUACUGCCUUCUCCUUCUGUGUGUAUGUCUUUGGCUUGGGCUCUGCCUUUGGAGGGGCUGGUUUCUGCAAUUAAAGGCAUUUUAGCAUGUGAUUCUUAGCUGAAAUGGUCUGUUUUUGGGUGCAAAUGAAAUGUGUCUACAAAGGUUGGUAAUAUACUCACAUUUACCAAUCUCUCAGAUCUCCUCUUGGGCUGCAAAAUAUUUCAAAAGAAAAUACCAAUUGUUUAAUUAAAACAGGAGCCGAUUUUGACAACCUGGUUGAUGCUGGCCCCUGGUGGCAAAGCAACGGAAUUGUACUCAACAUUUACAUACUUGUUAAGAACCAGUGCCUUGAUAAAAUACAAAUAAAAUUAUAUUUGAGUAAUAUGUUACUAACCUCUGCUGCCUCAGCAUCAGCGUUUGCCUGUGAUAAAAGGAGAGAGGAAUGUUAGUGACAACUCAGUAGGGCAACCGUGUUAGGUGGGUUUUACUGGGGGAGGGGCAGUUUAAAUGCCAUUAGUAUUAGAGAAAUUGUAUAAUAUCUACCUCACUUGCAUUGGCAAUGUUAACAUAUACUUCUAUGCCAAUAAAGCCCUGUGAAUUGAAAUUGCGCAAUCAAAAGUGGGCCUAAGGAGGCAACAGUUUUAUGGUCACUGCCAUAUGCUUGUUUGUUCCACUUACAUCAUCCAUAAACUAUUUAAUACAAAUACAGUACAUGUCAACUUGCGUCAGGCAUUUAAGUAAUGAACCAAUUAACUUGCCAAUAAUUAGUACCCUGGGAAGAACUCAACUGCGUGCCCCUGGUCUCCUUCUCAAACACCAUUGGAUGGAAAAAGCCCUUCUGACCUUUUCCUCCAAUGAGUUUUGAGAAAGGAGACCGGACGCAAAGGAGUAUGCAGUUGAUAUUUUCUCCAUGCUGCUUAUGCUCGCUACAGAGGGGAAUCCGACUCCUCCCCCCAACGCAUUCAUUCGUGAUAAAUGGACAUUUGCCAAGCAACAUUACUGUCCUCUUCGCAGACCAGCCAGUCUACUCUGCGUUCCCGCCAUUCAUUCGAAUUUCGAACUCUCCGAGAUCCUCAGCGACUCAAUGGUUACAGAAUCUACUAAAAUCCCCAGCAACAAGAGCGGCGCUGUGAUGUCGACGAAUCGCCAUUGCAUAACUCAGAAUUGUCUCGAGCAAACAACAAAAUGAAGGGCACACGAAAAUAAAAUAAAAUCACACAAGCAAACAUUCUACACGAUGUAGCGUGGCAUGCGUCAACUUUUAAGCAGAUUACGUUGCAACUAUACAUUUUGAUAUUGCAAAGCAAGAAAAACGUAAAUGUUUGUCUUCCUCACAAGGGCAGCCAUGACACACGACUUUCUGCCCUUUUUGAAGAACCCUAGAAGCAGUCUUCUGCAUGUGCAUACCAUACCGCCCACCAAGCGUUGAACAUAUCCCAACAAAUUAAGUUAUUUGAAUGAUAUUGCACUAGAGGAUACAUGUCUAAGGGAUACACGGAAUUCAAUUAAAAUUCAAUGUUAUACAAUAAGUGCAGUCAUAUUUGCUUAAAAAAAGAUUGAUGUCACCAACUUUAUUUCUGCAGAAUGGCCAUCUCACGACAUGGCUAACUCCCUACUUCUCUUUGUCUGGCGUUAAGUAAAUGUCAUUUUUAAACAACCACCAUGAAAAAAAAAGUGACAAACCCCCCAAGUUACAAGACUGGAUAAGGUAAAUAUAAUGCACCAAGUAUUUAACCAGUCUUAAUUUCCGAAGAGUAAAAUCACUGCGUGAAAAGAUAAGACGAAGAAAACCCGCCACUUCGCAAAUCAAAACAGAGUGAUACAUUUUAAAACUCCUGACUGCACACAGCAGCAGUGUAACAAUGUUGCAGCGAAGAGGACCAAAACAACUUGCAUUUGUGGCUACAUUUCAACAAUUGUACGUGCAAAAAUAAAUGCAUUUCAUGCAAUUGUGUUUUAUCUCUCAAAUGACACAAAAAUCAAUACAAAAAUAUUCUACUUACUUUGCUCCUUUUAGGCAUGGCUGUUUUGCGUAUUUGUUAAAAGAAAAAAAAAGAGGGCAAUGUUCCAAAACGGAGCAAGAAAAAUACUGUUCGGUAUAAGAUUCAAACAGUACGUUCUAUUACAGCGUAGCGAGACGUUAAUGUUCCAUUGGAACAAAACUAGCUCAAACCGGAUUGGAUUCCACCCCCCCUAUUCAAUUCAUUACAGCGCUAACCUGACGGACAAACCACUCUCCGCCCCUGGCCAUUGAUUGGCUUUAGGAGUCGUCAACACAUUUUCA
ensembl:lncRNA